CCGGCGCCACGCAGUUGGGAGCUCGGAUUCGGGGCAGGUGCCGGGCGGCACCCCACUCACUCCUCCGGCUGGAGCCACGUGUAGGGUCACGCCACGCUCUAAGGGUUAGUUAGCCCAGGCCCUUCACGGCAGGACCCUGCGCCGGGCCCACAGGCCUCCAUUAGUGUUACUGAGUGGCCCUUGCGCUGUGCUCCCCGGGUAAGAUCUGACAGGCCUGGGUUAGCUCUUGCCGAAUCUGCAGUCCCGGGCCCACCCGCCUUCUCUGCACCUUAGUCUUAACGUCUGUAAAACAGGCUGUUGUGAGAGUUAAGUGAUGACCUGGGUAAGGAGCCUAGCACAUAGUGUGCCCUGAAGGUUAAUUUCCUCCUGUUCACCGCUUUCCGGUUUUGGAGGACACAGACGGAACAGCAGGGUGAAGUCCCUCUGGGUCACAGGCAACUUGCUAAACCGAAAUGAGUUAAUGGAAUUAAUGACUGGUGAGUCUACAGACCAACCCCUGGAGACCGGGAAGGGAGAGACUCUAAGAAACAGGAAGCAAGACUGCAGCAGAAUCGUGUUGCCCACCAUCACGUUGCCCAGGCUUAGCCUUGCCAGGCUGGCCUGAAGUGCCCUGAUCCCAGAAGGAAGUCUUCAGUCAUCUGAUGCCUGACAUUGAGCUCUGAGCAGAAACUGAGUAUGUGGUGGCCACGACCGGGGUGCCAUUGUUGGCUGAGUAGCCUUGCCUCAACGUUUCAAAGUAUGACGCCUGCACGGGUUUGUGAUACUGCAGCACUUUUAUGGCAUCUUCUAUUUUAAACCAUUCCCUCUUCCUUCCUGUGGAGGCAGAGGGAAAAUGAAAUCAGUACAAGAGGGAAGCAGUGAGGAGGUUUCUGAGCCGAGAACUUUUGAGAAAAUGUAGAAGAAAACAUUAAUGUAAUGCUUCCUGACACUUUU